rnacentral:tRNA from 1 species
AGCGGGGUAGAGGAGAGGCACCUCGGGAGGCUCAUAACCUCCAGACCCCGGUUCGAUUCCGGGCCCCGCAA